GAUGGACCCGCGCCGUAUUAGCUAGUUGGUAAGGUAACGGCUUACCAAGGCGACGAUACGUAGCCGACCCGAGAGGGUGAUCGGCCACACUGGAACUGAGACACGGUCCAGACUCCUACGGGAGGCAGCAGUAGGGAAUCUUCCGCAAUGGGCGAAAGCCUGACGGAGCAACGCCGCGUGAGUGAUGAAGGGUUUCGGCUCGUAAAACUCUGUUAUUAGGGAAGAACAAAUGUGUAAGUAACUGUGCACAUCUUGACGGUACCUAAUCAGAAAGCCACGGCUAACUACGUGCCAGCAGCCGCGGUAAUACGUAGGUGGCAAGCGUUAUCCGGAAUUAUUGGGCGUAAAGCGCGCGUAGGCGGUUUCUUAAGUCUGAUGUGAAAGCCCACGGCUCAACCGUGGAGGGUCAUUGGAAACUGGGAAACUUGAGUGCAGAAGAGGAAAGUGGAAUUCCAUGUGUAGCGGUGAAAUGCGCAGAGAUAUGGAGGAACACCAGUGGCGAAGGCGACUUUCUGGUCUGUAACUGACGCUGAUGUGCGAAAGCGUGGGGAUCAAACAGGAUUAGAUACCCUGGUAGUCCACGCC
rnacentral:rRNA from 1 species